rnacentral:lncRNA from 1 species
UUAAUCCUAAGUUUAUUUCAGCAAUAAUGACACAUAAUAAUAACAAUAAUAAUUAAAAAAUGAAUUAAAAGAAAAUAAAAAUAAAAUAAGUAAAUAAUAGAAUGGGUUUGACUUUUUCCAAACUUAAAAAAAAGGCCAAUCAAAGAAAGAUACAUGGCAACAUUAUUUUUUUAAAUUAAAAUUAAAACAUGAAAAUGGAGAAAAACUCAUUAUCCCUUUUCAUCACCCCCUAAUCA